AUGCUCACUUCAGCAGCACAUAUAUUAAAAUUGGAUUAAUAUAGAGAAUAUUUGUAUGGCCCCUGUGCAAGGAUGGUAUGCAAAUUUGUGAAGGGUUCCAUAUUUUU